rnacentral:rRNA from 1 species
UACAGAGGGGGCAAGCGUUGUUCGGAAUUACUGGGCGUAAAGGGCGCGUAGGCGGCCUUCUAAGUCGAACGUGAAAUCCCCGGGCUCAACCCGGGAACUGCGUCCGAUACUGGAAGGCUUGAAUCCGGGAGAGGGAUGCGGAAUUCCAGGUGUAGCGGUGAAAUGCGUAGAUAUCUGGAGGAACACCGAUGGCGAAGGCGGCAUCCUGGACCGGCAUUGACGCUGAGGCGCGAAAGCCAGGGGAGCAAACGGG